rnacentral:misc_RNA from 1 species
AUGGAGACAAGACUGGCACACUAUAAAAGCCAAUCCGACGAGCCUGACUUGAUGUUCAUUUUCGACAGAUACAGAAGCACAUACGCUUCUUACAGAUUUCUUUUUGAUUUUUUGGUUUCUAUAACAAGAAAGAAACAGAUUCAUAGUCCCCAAAUCAAGAAUCAAGAAUCAGCACCACCGCCACCAUUACUACCACUUCAUAACCAUGACCACUGACGACCACCACGCUUUCAAGUUCCUCCCCAAGCGGAUUAUCCUUGUCCGCCAUGGCGAGUCAAUGGGCAACAUAGACACCGCCGCCUAUGUAACCACCCCUGACAACAAAAUCCCAUUAACCUCAUUGGGUCUAGACCAGGCCCGUGUCGCUGGGACUCAUUUGCGCAAUCUAAUUUCCGAUCACGGAAACUGCACCACCAACUGGCGGGUCUACUUCUAUGUCUCCCCCUACCAGCGUACCCGAUCCACUCUCCGGGAGAUCGGACGGUCGUUUGAGAGACAGAGGAUUAUUGGAGUUAGAGAGGAGUGUAGGAUUAGAGAGCAAGAUUUUGGGAAUUUUCAGAUCGAGGAGAGGAUGAAGGUGAUUAAAGAGACCAGAGAGAGGUUUGGGAGGUUCUUUUAUCGGUUCCCUGAAGGAGAAUCUGCUGCUGAUGUUUUUGACCGCGUUUCAAGUUUUCUUGAAUCUCUCUGGAGGGACAUAGACAUGAACAGGCUUCACAAGGAGCCUUAUCGUGACCUAAAUCUCAUAAUUGUAUCGCAUGGAUUAACUUGUCGUGUAUUCCUAAUGAAGUGGUUCAAGUGGACAGUGGAACAAUUUGAGCACCUAAAUAAUCUUGGGAACUGUGAGUUUCGAGUGAUGGAAUUAGGAGAAGGUGGGGAAUACAGCUUAGCAAUUCAUCACACAGAUGAAGAAAUGCAAGAAUGGGGAAUGUCUCCUGAAAUGAUUGCUGACCAGAAGUGGCGAAUCCAUGCCCACAGGGGUGAUUGGAAUGACAACUGUCCCUGGUACUUCGAUGCAUUUUUUGAUCAUCUAAAGACAGAUGUGGAUAAAGAAAGUGAUGACAAAGCAGAUGAUUCUUCAACUACAUGUGAAUAAGCUACACAGAAAUCAGAUGCGAAAUUCUUUUGAUUUAAUCUGUACCAAUUUCAUUUAUUGACCUGUGUUUAGUUGAUACCUUACUAGAAAAACACAUGGAAACCGUAGUUUUAAACUGAGCAAACAGAGGCUUGUAGUUGUAGCCUGCACUGCAAGAUUAUUUAGGUGGUAGAUUGUAAGUACUUUCUUGGAAAGAUCUACUUCUGAAUGCAUGAUCGGCUGCUAUCUGCAAAAUGUAAACACAAAUGUUGAAACUUCAAAGCAUUACAAUUUCGUGGUCAUGGUGAAUUUGUUCCAUGUAUUGUGUGAUUGUUGGUCGUCUGAUUUUUGGUAGAAAGACGUCUUUUAUCU